UACGUAGGGUGCAAGCGUUAAUCGGAAUUACUGGGCGUAAAGCGUGCGCAGGCGGCUUUGCAAGUCAGAUGUGAAAUCCCCGGGCUUAACCUGGGAACCGCGUUUGAAACUACAAGGCUAGAGUGUGGCAGAGGGGGGUGGAAUUCCACGUGUAGCAGUGAAAUGCGUAGAGAUGUGGAGGAACACCGAUGGCGAAGGCAGCCCCCUGGGUUAACACUGACGCUCAGGCACGAAAGCGUGGGGAGCAAACAGG
rnacentral:rRNA from 1 species